rnacentral:tRNA from 2 species
GGGUCCAUAGCUCAGUGGUAGAGCAAUUGACUGCAGAUCCAUAGGUCACCAGUUCGAACCUGGUUGGGCCCU